rnacentral:rRNA from 1 species
GAUGAACGCUGGCGGCGUGCCUAAUACUUGCAAGUAGGCUCUGAAGCUUGGUGCUUGCAUCGUGCGGAUGGAUUUGCGAACGGGUGAGUAACGCGUAGGUAACCUGCCUCUUAGCGGGGGAUUACUAUUGGAAACGAUUGCUUAUUCCGC